rnacentral:rRNA from 1 species
CUACGGGAGGCAGCAGUGGGGAAUUUUGGACAAUGGGCGCAAGCCUGAUCCAGCCAUUCCGCGUGAGUGAAGAAGGCCUUCGGGUUGUAAAGCUCUUUCGCAAGGGAAGAAAACUUAUCCUCUAACAUAGGGUGAGGUUGACGGUACCUUGAUAAGAAGCACCGGCUAACUACGUGCCAGCAGCCGCGGUAAUACGUAGGGUGCGAGCGUUAAUCGGAAUUACUGGGCGUAAAGCGUGCGCAGGCUGUUUUGUAAGUCAGAUGUGAAAUCCCCGAGUUCAACUUGGGAACUGCGUUUGAAACUACAAGACUAGAAUAUGUCAGAGGGGGGUAGAAUUCCAUGUGUAGCAGUGAAAUGCGUAGAGAUGUGGAGGAAUACCAAUGGCGAAGGCAGCCCCCUGGGAUAAUAUUGACGCUCAUGCACGAAAGCGUGGGGAGCAAACAGGAUUAGAUACCCUGGUAGUC